UGAUAAUUAGUUUAACCCAAGACAAAUGAUUUCGACUCAUUAGACUACGAUUAAGCUCGUAAUUAUCAU
rnacentral:tRNA from 1 species